GGAGGAGGACGAAAUUCCGGGCGGGGGCGAUUGAGGCGGCGAGGUGGGACAACGACAGGGACGACGCGACGAUAUGGAGCAAGGGGUGAACGGAGCGGUGCAAGUGAGGGGGAGGGGGGGCUCACGUCCAGAUCCCGGUGAUGCCCCGCCGUCGAUCAACUCUCCCCCCUCCUUAUCCCCCCACCGGAUUACUAACUCUAAACAUGUUUUUUCUCAAAUAAAACACCAGAAGCUGUAGAUCGGCGUAAGGAAAAAGAAAGGAAAAACACAUAGGGCUGUUUUAGUACUUUCAUUUCAUCAGUUUUUGCCCCUAUGGUAAUUCGUUUACCUAUUUAAUUAGCGAAAUGCCGCCGUCCACCGAGAGUCAGUGGCCAUAAUACGAACGAACUGCCGCCCCAUGGCUUCCUCCUCCUCUUCCUCCCGUACCCUUUCGCCCUCCUCCGCCUGACCCGCCCCGCCCCGUUCUGCUCGAACGCCGUCCACUUCCCUCUCGCCGUCGCCGCCGUUCCCUGCUCAUCCUCGUCCGCGCCCCUCCAAAUCGCCGUCCCUCCUCGCUGCGUCAGCCGGCGCGCCCGGAUUUCCCGGGCACGGGUUCCGAGGUAAUUUCGUUCCUUCUCACCCGUGGCUAGGUAAGCCCCACUGGGCUCUAGGAUUUCUGCGCGCGCCUCUAGAUCCGCCCGCACGCAUUCGGUUGCCGCGGGCGGUUUAUUUUUAGAGCGAGUGGGGCGGGGGGGGAGCAGCUCUCAGCUCGACGCGAACCGGGCAAAUGGUGGGCUGCUCGUUGAACUGGACAGUGAUCUUUGCUGGAAUUCGAGCCAUGUUAACUUGAUUUCACGAGAUUGAUUGCCUAAGGUUUUUCAUUUCAUCCUUGGACCGUGUUUCUGUAAUUCGGGGCCAGGAGGCGCUGCUGUCUCUGUCUGAAUAUGUGUUUAUGCUUUGGGUGAUGCCGUUCAGAGUUGAAACGGAUGUUUGUGUGACGGCAGCGCCGCUAGAGUGGCCUGUGGGUUCAACGAUAUUGAUUUGGGUGAUGCCGUUCAGAGUUGAUUUCUGCAACCGUGGUGUGGGCACUGGACUGCAUCAUACAUGCAGUGCUCUUGGCUGGGCAUUUUUUUUCACAGCGUGCUGGCUUUUAGAUUAGUUACUGAUGAAUUAACAUGAUGUAUGGAUGCAGAUUAUUCGGGUGGGGGAUGUGUCUGGACGAGCGAGUGUAGUUAAUUAGCUAUUAAUGCUGCUGUUUUUGGCUUUUUGCAGUGAGCUGUCGGUACAGGGUAGAACUGCUUAAUGAUACACAUCAGUCUGAUUUUCAGGUUUUAAGUCUGGAAGAUUACCAAGACCCAAGGGUAUUGCCUGAGCAGAGUAAUUGAGUUCUAAAUCUGCCAUCAUGUUUAAUUGAAGAGUUAAUGAAAAAGCAUUGUUGAUCCAUAAGCAAGGGCAUUGUGGUUGGCAUCAUGCCACAUAGAAAUAUGUGUUGGACACAUCAGGGUGAUAAUCUUGAAUCAGAGGAAGGACAAGCUCAGCCUGAAAAUUACAAUAAUGGUGGCACUGGGAGUAAUUUAUCCAAUCAGGGCGUGCAAGUUGCUCUUGGAGUUCCAGGAAAUACUACUAGUGAUGGAGUCCAUGAUUCACGGAGUUACUAUGAGAGCAUUAAUAAUCAGCGCCAGCAUGCUCAGAAUUUAUACCCAUAUGGAGGCGUUGAUCCGAGUUUUGUCUACCCAUCGACUAUGUACAAUCCCGGAGCUAGGGAUGUGAGUAGCAGCAGUAGCAGUUUUGGUGAUGCUACCAGACAAUCCAUGAAAACGAGGAAUGCUGUAACUGAGAGUGGCCAUCAUUUUGAUCAUGGAUUUGCAAGCUCGAGUUCAUCUGCUCAUGUGCCUCAGAAUCCUGCACAAUGGACAUGGUGUGCUUCAUUUGAAUCACAUGGUGCACCAAAUGGCUCUUCUGCUGAUGGACCAAACAGGCCAUCACCAAUGGCUACUCACCCAGCAUUGGUGCGUCAUGGUAACUAUGUAUUUCCAGCUGGUCACAUGGGCCAGGGCAAUACAUGGACUACACACCCUGCAAAUGUUAUUGCUGAUGGAGUCCCACACUGGGCAUACAACAAUGCAGUCCACAAUCCUUCAGGUCAGUUUGCUCAUCCAGGAACAAUGGGCAUGCAAAAUGGUAGUCUUCAAGAUUACCAAGCUGGCCCUUCUGCUACUUUUCAUGGGCCUUUACCUCAUUUCAACCAGAUUCCUAUGCAUAGCAUGCAAACUCCUGCUAUGCUUAAUCAUAUUCAGAUGCAAGGGCCUCAGCGUCAAAGCAAUGUAGUGCAAGGUGCUAACCCUUCUGGAAUGGUGCAAGGUGCAAACCCUUCUGGGAUGGUGCAAGGCACAAACCCUUCUGGAAUGGUGCAAGGUGGAAACCCUUCUGGAAUGGUGCAAGGUGCAAACCCUGCUGGAAUGGUGCAAGAUCAAGUUUACAAUGGGAGUGUAAGACUUCUUCAGCAAGCUGCUAUGGCGACUAUGUCAACAUUUUAUGAUGCAAUACAUCUUAUUGACGAACAAUGGGAUAUGGGGCUAGAUAUAGACAGCAUGACCUAUGAGGACCUUCUAGCAUUGCAAGAACAGAUUGGAGAUGUCCAUACCGGUUUGCCAGAAAGGUACAUCCGUCAAAAUCUGAGGGUACGUCAGUAUGUUGUUCCCAGGGCAGCUCGCGGGUCCGAUCAGUCUGUGGAGAAGGAUGCUUGCAUUAUAUGCCAGGAGGAGUUUGAGGCGAGAGAACUUGUAGGAACCCUCGACUGCGGUCACAAGUACCAUGAGGCGUGCAUCAAGCAGUGGCUGAUGGUGAAGAACUUGUGCCCCAUCUGCAAGGCAACAGCUUUGCCAGCAGAGUGAAGCAGCGGGUGACCGGCGUCAAUAAAUCAUUUGCCGCAGCAGUGACUGAGAUUCAGCUCCGUUUCUUGUAGAUAAGAGAUGUUGGAUGAUUGUGUUAUUUACCUGUAAUUUCCUGUUCGGUUUGUUGUGGACAUAGCCUGCCCCAAAACUGUAUAGCCAGAGAAUGGUUUCAUUUCCUAGACUGCUCUUAGACCCCCAUGGUGCCUGAACUUCUCUCAUCAUGGUUUUCCUAUUGCCCGUUUUAUCUAUUUGUACAUUGUAAUUAGACCUAUAUAUUUCCCUUUG
rnacentral:rRNA from 1 species